AGAGAGUUUGAGUCCUGGCUCAGGGAUGAACGCUAGCUACAGGCUUAACACAUGCAAGUCGAGGGGCAGCAUGGAGAAGCUUGCUUCUUCUGAUGGCGACCGGCGCACGGGUGCGUAACGCGUAUCAAACCUGCCUCAUACUCGGGGAUAGCCUUGCGAAAGUAAGAUUAAUACCCGAUGUUGUUAUGUUACCGCAUGGUGAUAUAACCAAAGAUUUAUCGGUAUGAGAUGGUGAUGCGUCCGAUUAGGUAGUAGCGGGGUAACGGCCCACCUAGCCUUCGAUCGGUAGGGGUUCUGAGAGGAAGGUCCCCCACACUGGAACUGAGACACGGUCCAGACUCCUACGGGAGGCAGCAGUGAGGAAUAUUGGUCAAUGGACGAAAGUCCGAACCAGCCAAGUAGCGUGCAGGAUGACGGCCCUCUGGGUUGUAAACUGCUUUUAGUUGGGAAUAAAAAAGAGGACGUGUCCUCUAUUGUAUGUACCUUCAGAAAAAGGACCGGCUAAUUCCGUG
rnacentral:rRNA from 1 species